rfam:Yarrowia lipolytica strain CLIB122 chromosome B complete sequence.
GCGGAUUUAGCUCAGUUGGGAGAGCGCCAGACUGAAGUCGUUCUUCGGUCAGAGUAUCUGGAGGUCCUGUGUUCGAUCCACAGAAUUCGCA